AGGGAAUUUUGCACAAUGGACGCAAGUCUGAUGCAGCAACGCUGCGUGAAGGAUGAAGGUUUUCGGAUCGUAAACUUCUUUUAUCUGGGAAUAAUCUUGAAGGUACCAGAUGAAUAAGCACCGGCUAACUACGUGCCAGCAGCCGCGGUAAUACGUAGGGUGCAAGCGUUAUCCGGAUUUAUUGGGCGUAAAGAGCUCGUAGGUGGACAGACAAGUCUGAUAUGAAAGACCCAGGCUCAACUUGGGGAACGUAUUGGAUACUACCUGUCUAGAGGUAUGCAGGGGAAGAUGGAACUUACGGUGUAGCAGUGAAAUGCGUAGAUAUCGUAAGGAACGCCGAUGGUGAAGAC
rnacentral:rRNA from 1 species